UUAUUAAGUUGAUGAUCAAUAUCAAUUGUCAUAUGUCAUCCAGUCUACCUGCCGGCAGUGAGUAACACACCAGGUUGUUUUUACCAAUAGCGGAAUAGAGAAUUUCCUAGGGGGCUUUGUUCUAGAAGCAUAAAGACAAUUUCCAAGACUGUUGCCAUGGUAGCAGAACCAGACAAAAGUGGGCAGUCUAGAGAUCAUAAACAGAUCAAUGGAAAUAACGUGGAGAUUGUGUUGCAGUUCAGAUAUGAGAUGUCUCCACAGAAGUUCAUAUGUGAAAGACGAGGUUCUCUAUACGAGGUUCAGAGCCUGGUUCCUAGGAAAUGACUGUGUCGUUAUGGUGGUUUGAAUAUGCUUGGUCCAUGGGAAGUGUGGCACUAUUAGGAGUGUGGUCUUGUUGGAGUGGGUGUGGCUUUGUUGGAGGACAUGAGGUCAUUGUGUGGGUGCGCUUUGAGAUCCUGUACUCAAGCUCUGCCCAUUUCAGAACAGAGAUUCUUCUCCUGGUCUGGCUUAGGAUCAAGAUGUAGAACUCUAGGUUCCUCCAGCACCAUGUCUGCCUGCCUGCUGCCAUGCUUCCUGCCAUGAUGAUAAUGGACUGAACCUCUGAAACUGUAAGCCAGCCUCAACUAAAUUUGUUUCCUUUUAUGAGUUACCUUGGCCAAGGUGUCUCUUCACAGCAAUAAAACCCUCGUGAAAUCAUGGGCACAAUUAGUGGAUUAAUAAUACAUCAACAGACUUAUAGUUGAAUGGAUUAUUGGGAGAUCAGGCUGGACAUGAAGAAAUAAUAUCCUGGGAAUGUACCUUGGAAGGGUUUGUCUGCUCCCCCUUCUCUCUCUCUCCCUCCCUCCCUCCCUCCCUAUGAACCAUGAGGUGAGCAUUUUCUGUCUGCCCCUGGCUAUGAUCUUUUGCCUCACUACACACACAGAUCCCACGGCGAAGGAGUCAAUCUGUAAUGUACUGGAACACUCAAGACCGUGAGCCAAACUAAAUCCUUUCUUCCUUCAGUUGUUUUGUGCACUGUUGGUUCAGCAGCAGAAAGCAUCUAAGACACCUUACAAGCCAUGGGAAAUGACCAAUGUGUGUGUGUGUGUGUGUGUGUGUGUGUGUGUGUGUGUGUGUGGAAGGGUAAGGAACAUAUCAUAUUGAUGGCUGGGGUAGAGCAAGAAGACUCUAAUGAAUCUGGCUGAGAUUUCACUUUAAUGAGUUUCUACUGAAACAUCCAAGUCCUAGAUGCUUGUAGAAGACCUAUCAAUAGAUCCAGAAUCCAAUGAAGGCACCGCGCUUCAAACAUCAGCAGCCUCAGGCUGGUGAGCCUCAAAACAUAGAGGGAAGGUUGGAGAGUCAUCUUCAGUUCUGCUUCUAAUUGCAAACACCGGCCCUUUGAGAUUUUUCCAGCGCCUUCUGUCCUGACCCUAGCUUCAUGCCACUCUAAUUCCUGAGUUGGUCAGCCAUCAGCAGGGUCAAUCAUAACCGCCAGGGAACGGAUGUAGGGAGCCAAUCAGGAGAUAGGCUCCUUGGAGAAACAUUCCAGGGAUGGGAGUAAAAGAGUGGAACAAAUCUGGAGCAAUAUCCAGGAAGAGGCUAGGCAAGAGUAUGUCAAUGGCUGCAAAAGUACGUCAUGAAGGCAGUAGCUUAUGGACAGCAGGAAUACGUCUAGAAACUUUCUAGCCUGGAGACUGGAAAAAUACAAAAAAGAAGGUGUAUUCUGGGUCUGGUUCUAAAGGCCCCCUUCCUUGUAGAGAAGUACACUGUGGUGUCAUAUGAACAGAAGAGAGUGGAGUUGUUCCAAAAGAGACUAGAAGUACCGGUGAAGGGCACUAAUGCCAUUCAUGAGUACUCCAGCCCCCACCCCCAACAUCUCCCAGAUGCCCUAGCUCCUAAUACAAAAACCUUAGAGAUGAAGAUUCCAACAUAUGAACUUGGAAGAAUACAAACAUCCCAACUGUUAAGAGCUAACUGUUAGCUCGUAGAAGGACAUGGAGACUCACAACUUUAAUCCCAGCACUCAAGAAACAGGCAGGUGGAUUUCCAUAUGCGCUCUACCUGUGCUCAGAGGCAGGGGACAGGAGCUCAUGGAAUGAGUGGAUGAUUGGGACUAUGGGACUAUGUCUUUAUAUUUAGAACUUUCUUCUACAUUAAAAAUAAACCAGUUAUUUUGUUUUUAAAACAGAAACUCUCUUGGCAUACCUUUAUCUUUUAUAAUAUGCCUUUAUAACUUCAAAAAAUGAAUAGGCUCCUCCAAAUAAUCAAAUAAUUAUUUAGUAAAUUUUUUCCUAACAGAAUCUGCAUCCUCUUUCUCCUCUCUCCCUUCCCACUGGGAACCUUGUACCUCACCAGAAUGCAUGUGUGUUUGCUAGAUUCCACCCUGUUCCUAUCCAGAUCAAUCAGAACUAAUUUUGCAAGUAAAAUGUGUGGAGAGCUCACCCUAAGUGCUCUGCUAAAUUCUGAACGCUUAAUAUCUGCUUCACUGAACUCUGCUCCUAGCCUUGAAAGUCUCCUGCUAGCCACCAAUUUGGCUCGUCAUAGUUUAUCUUCUCAAAAAAAACAAAAAACAAAAAACAAAAAAAAAACAACAAAAAAAAACUAUGCUAUUUAUUGCUCUCAAUUAGAUUACCCUAGGUGUUCUGUACCAUGGAUACUUUCCCCACACGUCUCACAGAGUCUCUUGUGCAAUUGACACACGUGUCUAAUCUACCAGGAGGGCACAUCUAUGCACUCUUUCUCUAGCCUUUGCAGAAUUAUGUCUGAAUCUUCAUUUGCUCAAGAUGCAGUGUAAAAGGAUGAUCAGCUCAGGAGGUGGGUCAUCCAGAUCCACAAGGUCUUCAGUAUAUUUCUAUCACAGACUCUUGCCUUCUGGAGCAGGUAUUUAAUAAGACUUCCCACUAACCGUGGACUCUUUAUAAUGGGGGACUAUGUCAGUUUUGCCAGGGUUGAGAUGAGCUUUUCAGUUCUUAGAGAAUGUUUGAAUCCUCCAGCACUACAUUCUUCAUGCACAUGCUGCAUGCUUCUGCAGUGUCCUGGCUGUUUCCUUUCCUAUUCUGUAACCAACAAGGAACCAAAGAGAGAGAGAAAAGCCUUACCCACAACCUAUGGUCCUUGCUGUCUGUUAUCUUAAGUCUGGGACCUGGCAACAACUGGAAGAGAUGGGAAGGAGGAGUCAGCCAGUGCUAUCAAGAAUCUGGGUCAGCUCACAGAACAUGGUUAAGAGAUGCUUCUUGGUCUCUGGGUCCGUCCCUCAUCCCACUAGAUGGAAUGGAUUUCCAUCUCUUCCAGGAGGAAGGGAGCAGCCAGGCAAAAGAAGUGCCAAAGCAACAGAACUGUGAGUUGCUCAAAUAACACAGGGAUAGAUUAAUGUCAAUAAAGCACUACAUCUCCAUGCACAGACAGGCUGACCCUUCUAAAGGGAGGAGAGUAAUGAGGAAACCCUUCUUCUGUUCUAUGUGAACUUGUUUGAAACUAAAAACUGCCAAGCUGGUGCCCUACAUGGCCACACUGCUAGUAAAGAGGCUACUUAGCCUAGCCGGCUUUUCUCGGAUCUCCAUGAUGGGUGAGCAUAGACAUCAACAGUGGACACAACACAGUUGACUGUGUUAAUAUUCCAUUCUGUAUCUAAUACGCCCCAAGUAUUUCUUCUUUUCCCCUGGUUUGAUUUUUCAAGACGGAUUUUUUUCUGUGUAGCCCUAGCUCUCCUGAGACUUGCUUUGUAGACCAGGCUGGCCUUGAACUUAUGGAGAUUCACAUGUCUCUGCCUCCUGAGUGUGCUCCACCACUGUCUGGCUCAAGUAUUUCUUUAAGAGUUUCUGUGGCCUACAUCCCCAUAGCUCUGAUAGAGUUCCUCAGGGUCCAGAUAGAUAAGCCAUCGUCUAGCAAACUCCUCAAACAUAUUUUUCCUCUACAUGAAGGAAAGCUUCCUUCCUCUACGUGGCCAGGAAGCUUCAUUUCUUCCAGAGUUUGGGAAAACAAGGAAAAAAACAGCUUGAGAAAGUCACCAGUUAAAAUAUAACUAUAUGCAUGAAAUAAUAUGACAUAACUUUUUAUAUGUCAUUUUGGUUAUUUAUUAAGUAAAUAUGAUACACCCAUCUCUUGGGAUUGUUGUGAAGAUAGAACGAGAUAUGUAAUAUGAAGCACAAAGAAUCCUGAACUCAAUAAAAUGAGCUAUGAUUUUGCGUUAUGUAUACACAGGUGCCCGUGCUAUCAUUUAAGAAAGAAAGAAAGAAAGAAAGAAAGAAAGAAAGAAAGAAAGAAAGAAAGAAAAAGGAAGGAAGGAAGGAAGGAAGAAAGAAAGAAAGAAGAAAAAGGAAGGAAGGAAGGAAGGAAGAAAGAAAGAGAGAGAGAGAAAGAAAGAAAGAAAGAAAGAAAAAGGAAGGAAGGAAGAAAGAAAGAAAGAAAGAAGGAAAAGGAAGGAAGGAAGAAAGAGAGAGAGAAAGAAAGAAAGAAAGAAAAAAAGAAAGAAGAAGAAGGAAGGAAGAAAGAAAGAGAGAGAGAAAGAAAGAAAGAAAGAAAGAAAGAAAGAAAGAAAGAAAAAGGAAGGAAGAAAGAAAGAAAGAAAGAAAGAGAGAAAGAAAGAAAGAAAGAAAGAAAGAAAGAAAGAAAGAAAAGGUUUAUUGCUUUCCUUUGCUAGGAAGUUCAUAGGUAAUAGAACCCUAAUUUCACUGAAUAUGAACUGUCAACAAACGCACAGUCUGACAUAUUACGUAUUUGGCCAUAGAACAUACACUAAGUGUCCCGCGCGCGACUUUUCGCCGGCAAGGAGCACGCGGACAUUAGAAAUCCUUACUGUGACCACUUUAUUAAUCUUAGAAGAGGAAAAGCCACGCCGCACCAAUAUGGGGCACUUAUAAAACCCUCGUGCAGCGCACCCACACCUGAUUGGUUGUUACCCAUGAUCUCAUAAGGCACGCCCCGGAGUGGGCAAAGACCUGGCACGAAGGCACUCUUGCACAUGCGCACAGUUAACUACCUGAAAGGGGGGCCGGCUGGCGCGGCGAAGGUUGGCGCCAUCUUGUAAUGGCGGAGUCUAUCCUGACCUACCACGUGGUGCGCAGUGGAAGACAGCGCCAACUAGUGGUUGCGAAUGUUAUUGCGGCCCUCUACAACUAAGUUUAACUCCCUGGUAUCUUAUUGGUGAGGGACCUUCUCCUGCACCUCUGCCUACCCCCUUCUCCUCCCAUGGCUGGUCCCCAAACCUCCAAACAAGUAUGAGUUUACCUGUGCCUGAGUCGUGUCACAAGCCAUUCUACCAACCUAAAGGCUAUGGCCUAUCUGGCAGAAGCCAUCAGAUGGUGGAAAACUACUGAUCCACAUUGAGCUACACAAAACUGUUCGUCAAAUUCCUAGGAAGAGCAAACACUUCCCUGGCAAGUCCUCCAGCAAGGUCCUUGGCUAGAAGGAGCAACCACCUUCAUUAGGCACCAACCAAAAUCUUGGGUUUGAACGGUGACAAAUCUGGAACCUUUGGCUGAUGCCAGCUUGGGGCCUACUGCACAAAGGAAGCCCUUUUUUACAGACUCAGCACUGAAUCUGAACACACGGAGAAUUAAUCUUGGCUGCAAGUGGAAAGCCAGUGUGGAAAACAUAAUCUGGUGGCUAAGAUGUGAAAUGAAAGAUAUAAUAUGGCCCAAGCUUCCAGAGGCUAAGCUCUUUACUAGGUAGAAACAUGCAUUUAUGGAAUCUUAACCCAGUAGUACUGGUCUGAUACAAGAGUACGAGAACAGCAAGCGGGUUAAACCUUAAAAAAAUUCCUGUUUGCAAGCUGUCUGUCAAUCACUGGCAUGUAAAGUGAUCAGAAAAGGGCAUUAUUAGCCAGCAUCUCCACUUUCCUAUGUUUGCAGUGCUCUUUACAAAGAGAAGGAAGUCCUGCCCUUAAUGCUUGUACCUGGUGAGCCACUAAGCUUAGGAAGCCUGGGGUAGAAAGUGCCAAAAGGCCGCUCAGAGCAAAGGCAGUAGAGCACUUUUCUUUGGGGUAGUUGAGGAGGCCCCAGGGAGAGGUCACCUCACCUGGGUCCUUUGAGAAGAGAAUCUCAGGCAGAGGGGGUAACAUAAACAAAGACAGCUCAGAGAGGCAUGGCCAGGGUGUGGUGAGGAACUGUGUUCAGCCAAGCUGUGGGCAGCUGAGCCAGGGAGCAGUGGGGAUUGGAAGGCCUUCAACAUGCAAGGAGAUCAACCUUGACUCCCAGAGGCGUUUGAACAUUCCAUGUCUGCUUUUGCAACCAAAAGGCAACGGGAAUUUGAGGGAGGCAAAGAACUGAAUCGGGAGGAAGCUGAAAUUCCUACCUUCAUAUAGGCAUUCUGUUCUCUCCACAAGCUCAUUGUUGUUUGAAACAAGGAUCCCACAUGCAGACCAGCAACAGGCCUACAGUCUAUCCAGGAAGCAUAGAACCUUGAGCACAGAUGGCUUCUCUGGAGUGGUACUCAGCUCUAUAGAGAGUCCUGCCACCACUGUUGUGUGGGACCCGGCCAGCCUACUUCAGUGUUGUCUCCCAAUUUUCAUUGCCCAGAGUUUCUAGAACAUUGAAAACUCACCUUCAAUACACAGGGGUCACUCGUCACAGCUGUACAUAUUCUUCAAAUUGAUUAGUUUUGGGGGUUGUUUGACUCAUUGGUUUUCCUUUGGCAUAUCGUGGCUGCAAACAGAAAUUAGGCGGCAGUAUUAAGAAGCGCCGGGUUUUUAAUAUAAGAAAAACACAAUCGUGUCUUACUGGUAUCGAAAGUAUGCUGAUGACAAUUUAGACAGAAAACAAACAUCAGGGACCAUGAUUGAUUUUGAGAGCCACUGCCAGGAACUUGUUUACUUCUUUGGUCAAUUUGCAUUUGCUUUUGAUUUAAGUGUGGUUUUUCUAUCUAGCUGGCCAUACAAAAUUAAUGUUUUUCAAUCUCUUCUUUGCCCUUUCAUUUGCAGAUUUUCUUCAUCUCUGGUUGAUAAGAAAGAGAAGCAAUUGUGGAGUGUUAGAGGAGGUGCUACGUGGUUUUCUGAUGCUGGAGCCCUAUUCUGGACUAAAUAGUAACCAUUCAGAAAAGAAGAGCAAAGAGAAUGAUAGGUGCUGGUUGCCUGGCAACACUCUAAUAAGAUUAUCAAUGCCAUCUUCUUCACUUAAUUUAGGACAAGCAGCCAAGAUGUCUGUGAGAUCACGAUACCUUCCCAAAAUGGCUCCUGGUCCUCCACACUGUAGCCUCGUCUCCUCAGUACCAAAUCAUGCGUCUUUCCCAAGUGCCAAAUUAAGAGAGAAUCUGUUGACCAUUGGUUGGGUCAUUUGUUAGAAACUUGUGUCCACGGUGAUAAUAGCAAAGAAAGUUCUGGAAGCCACCAUUUCAGGCUGGAGGAGGGAUUUGCAAGGCUGAGUGGGAAGACUACUGUUUCUCCUACCCAUUUUCAAAUGAGUAUGGCUGAGCGUGCCUGACUUCCAAAGCAAGGCACUGUAAAGGCCAUCACACCACCAGGUUGGUCAAGACGUCAGUCCCCAGUGGGUUGCCGUUUGUCGUGCAGCCUUCGAGAAGUGCAGUCGGAACCAUGCUGGGCACAGAGGGACAUGCUUUUCACCACAGCACACGCUAGGAGCCAACACCUCAGGGAUGCAGUUUAACUUUAUGGCCAAAGGAAGAGAGUGGGACAGGAGGACAGAAACUAACCCUUUCUCGAAAAAGAAACUGAAGUUAUGGAAAAAAACUAAGCUUCAGAACUUGUAGGUGUAACCACCACCACUCUUCAAGGAAGCCUCUCACUACAGCAAGUGGAGACCAUCAGAGAAAACCACGGCUGGACAGAAUGUGGGGAUAAACACCCAUGAAGAGCCUUGCCCCAACCCAUGCAUCUCCGUAAUAGCUCCUGCAUGUGUGGCGCAGAGGACAUCACAGAAGAGGGGUCUGAAAGACGUGAGAGCCAAAAUAAUACCAAGUCUUCUGUAAAUCAGUCUCUCCUAGAAAUGGCAGUAUAAAGAAGCCCAGAACUAUUAAUGGACAUUAAUAUUGACGUGUAUGGGAGAAAUUUCAUGGAGUCCCAUCUCCUGACAUUGUCUACUGGUUGUACAGUGCAUAGUGGUCAGCUUUGAAAGCAUAUAGAUACCAACAACAAAAUGAACUCAGCAGGUAAAAUGCCAAAAAUGUUUAUUUUGCUAGUCUGCACACUAAUGUGAGGAAGUCAAGAUGGCCAGCUCUUCAGAGACGCUUUAAACCUCAAGUUCUCCACAGGGGCACUGCAAGAAAAAUGUGGAAGAUGGGUUACUGAACAAACGCAGACACGUUCCCCUUUCUCAAAGCUUCCCCCACCAUAUCCACCUGCUCCCCAACCACCCCCAGGGACAAGUCACUGCAGGACUAGAGAAUGGGGCACAUCCUGUUGCACUGAGGCCAGACGAGGCAGACGAGUUAAGGGAAUGAGAUCCACAGGUAAGCAAUACAUACAGGGACAGGCCCUCUUUCAGUUGUUGGAGGGCCUGCAUGAACACCAAGCUGUGUAUCUGCUACAAAUUUGAAGGAAUAGAGGGGAGGGGUGCAUAAUUUACAAUCAGUGCUUGCUCUUUGCUUCGUGGUUGGGUCUCUGAGAGCCCUCAAAGGUCCAGGUUAAUUGACUCGGUUGUUCUUCCUGUGGAGGCUAUGUCCUCAAUCCUUCCUCAAGACUCCCUGAGCUCCAUCUAAGGUCUGGCUGUGGGUCUCUGCAUCUGCUUCAGUCAGCUGUUGGGUGGAGCCUCUCAGAGGACAAUUAUGCUAGGAUCCUGUUUGCAAACAUAACAGAGUAUCGUUAACAGUGUCAGGGACUGGUUCUCUGGCAAGAAUUCUUAAGAAAGAGAAAUUGGGGGGGGGGGUGUAUCGUAAAUGCUGGAUCAAGAAACAAGUUAAAGAGGAAGAUAAAGGAAACUGAUGUUUGUGUCUUUCCUAAGCUCAUUGUUGUUUAACGCAAGCACAAUCUUCACUACACACAACAGUGCCUGGCAUAUAGCGGUGGUCACAGAACCUUCUUUUUAAACAGGUAAGUCUAUAACGUUGUUGUACAAGACUGACCUUCAAGCCAAACAGCUAACACCGUGGGGAAUUCAGUUCUGCCCAGUUGUAAAAGAUCCCCAACUGAUUUUGUCAACUGUAGCAUCAUCCCCUCAUUAGAGGACUGGAGAGGGUAUCGAGACCCUCACACCUGAGGACCCAACCGCUCCAUACCUCCAGUACCAAGCUGCCCAAUUACAGGUCUCAGGGAGGAGCUGGAACAUAGAGGCCAUGGAAGGCUAGGGGAGGUGGGGCUUCCUUCUCUAUGACUAUGGGAAAGCCCUCGUGCCUGCUUGGUAAAGACUUUCUGAUAGAACUCUUUGGGGCCACACCUACAUGUCAGUAAGUAACCCCUCACUUAUGUUCUGUAAGUAGGCACAAUAAAGUCACCAUGCAUGAGCUUCGGCAGAAUGGUGCCAUGGUUUGUGACUGGGACUGGAGUGAGGAGGUGAGGGGAGGUGGGGAUGUGACUUAUCCUCCCUCCUGGGAGGAAUUUUAACAGCAACCACACUGCUGAGACAAGGGUACCCUGCUCUUUUAAGAAAGAUCGCUGGAAUGCAUCCUUGGGUCGUUUUUCUGAACCCAAGCGCUCCUUGGAAAGGGUGGGGCCUGCUUUUAGUCAGGAAUUUGUGAUCAGGAAGAGAUUGGAAGUUACUUUUGAAACAAAGACAGGAAAGGUGCUGGGUUUUGACUUUCCGAAUGGGUGCCACACCAUGUUUGUCAUGAGAAGUGGUAUGUCAGUCACCCCUCUGGCUACCUCAUCUGCCACACUCCCUCCUUCUGGGAGCACUCCUAGUCAUUCACACCAGUCUGUGGAACAAGGGGACACUGGUUACAUUCCUUCUGAGAUCCUUUAACAUAAAAAGAGGCCGUUCUUUCUACCUGGUUGUUUCUUUCCCAGGUUCCUAUGCUUCUGUUCCCUUAUCGGGGCUCCGAGCCAUUUUCCUAGAACUCUUGGCUUUUAUCCACAGGCCCUGAAACACAGGUCAAGGAAUGUGGCACCUGAUAGAAGAGAGGGGACCAACCCUUCUAUGACUCUCUCCUUUGCUGGCUGCGCUAAGGAGCUCAAAGUUUGCCCACAGAGGGAUGGACGAGUCAGUUAGGACCCAGCUGAAGAAGCUUGUCCUGAAAAACCUUCUCCUGUCAAUGUUUGUAAUCUAGCCUAUUGAAUUUUAGAGCCAGCAGAGAAUUUAGAAAGCAAAUUCAACCCCCUCGAUUUAAAAAUUAGGGAAAUGAAGCUCAGAGAAAGGAGAUUAACAGGCCUAAGUUCCCACAGCAAGGAAGUGGCCUUGGUUGUGGCUGCUCCUGACUCCCUAAGAGUAAUGGUGCCAUGAACGGAGGCAGAAGGUUGCAUGCGAGCUUCUAGUUUUUGAGACAGGGUCUCUCUAUGUAGCUUUGGUUGGUCUGGAACCCCCUUUGCAGACCAGGCUGCUCUCUCUAGAACUCAGAAUUCACCCCACCUCUGCCUCCCAGUGCUCAGAAAAUUGUGCAUAUUUGUAAAAGGCUCUAUGUAGAUAAAUUCAGUAAGGGUUGCAUGUUUUCCCUCAAACUAACAAACACAUGUUUGUUUGGUUGGUUGAUGUUCCACCCCACCCCCAAUAGGUUUUCCUUAGACUUACACAUUUUUACCAUUUAAUCUCCACGCAUUCGCACCCUUUUAAGCUAUGGUUGGACUUACAAAUAUAUAACCUGUUUGAGGAAAUAUGAACCACCUUUCCAAAUUCUCCUUUAUUGGCUAAUCCAAGUUUACCUUGGGGAAGGGGAGUAGAGCUAAAGCAAGCAUUGUUUUUGCAAAAUCGAGCCCUUAUGCCAUGGGAGGGCGUGGAUAGUGGUUUUGCAGUCUGGAUUGACAUUUUUUCAAGAAGCCAUGAAAAAGGAGAACAUGCAGACAAUGAUACUCUAGAGCUGAAAGGAGCCAUGAGAGGUGUUAUUUAGGUCAACUAUUUCACAGUGUAGCUCAGAAAACAAAAGCCCAGAGCUGGAACUGUCUCCUCUAAGGUCAGUAAAGCCUGCCCCUCCCACUUGGUUCUCUUUAAAUAGGAGCUUUUAAACUAGAAGGAAGGACCAGAGACGACUGUGAAUUUUUAAGAAAUAUCUCCCAGGUUUUUCUACAGAGAGAGAGAGAGAGAAAGAGAGAGAGAGAGAGAGAGAGAGAGAGAGAGAGAGAGAGAGAGAGAGGAGAGAAGCUCCCUAGAUGGCCAAAGAGAACAAGAACAAAUGUGUCUUUGGAACCACAGAAUCACUGAGGGAGAAGUCUAAGUCAAAGCUGAUAGACAGGCAGGCCUCUUAUUUCCAGGCCCCGAGACCAGUGUGGCCUUGGAUGGGAGAGAAUGCCCAUGAGUAGAAGACGCAGGCCUGUCAAAGGCCCUACUGAAGUGCAGAGUUAUAUUCCCAACAACCUGGCCUCUAUGGCCAAGUGGUGGCAGACCUGGAAAUCUGGGACCAUGUCUGAAGCAGGAUGUUUGUGGUUGUCACGCUGAGAAGGGGGUUGUUUGUGUCUAGUGCUAAGAAACCAGAGAUGAAAAGCCAUGGCCUUCUGCUCUACCAAAAGGUGGUACCCCCGUAGUGCGUCCUGCCAAGGCUGAGAGAGGCUCUACCCCAUCUUUCAAGCGGGGCUUAGCUUUGUAUCAUUUCCCCCAAAUGCUCCCCUUCUGAAUGAAAGCCUAAUAACCACUCCAGAAAGAUUCACCACUCUCUUUAGGUCUUUAGCAUUUUACAACCCCCACUCCCCACGACCAAGGGGGGGAAAAUUAUAAUUCAGAUGCUGAAAAGGUGAGCAGUACAGGAAGCAACCAUUUUCAUAACAAUUCCUGGUGCUGAAAAUAUAUGCGUAGGAGAGCCUAUUUUCUGUGGACUUACAUUUUUCUUGUUCUUUGUUGUCAUCCCCGCCAUUCUUGGUAAAUUUGUUUUCAUUUUAAGUGUUACAAGCAGUUAUUAUGUAUUCCAGGCAGGGCUCCCAAGCUGUGACAAUUUAAAUGAGGGAAACUUUUUUUUUUGUAGGCAAAAAAAAAAAAUGAUAAAAGUAUAAAUGGUUUGUUGGAACACUGAAAAAACUCGCCUCAGAGAGCAAAAUUCUUUUUAUGUUGUCUUAAUAUUAAUCCAAAAUGAAAAUGUCCUUCACUUCAUAAAGGGAAGAUUUGGCAGGUAUGAGAUACAAUGGGACAAGGAUACGUCCCCUUCCGCAUUUAGAUCAGCGUGUCUUCUAAGGAGACUUUGAAACCAAUAGUACAUAAGAUGCCACAAAUAAUUUUUUUUUUAAAACUGCUUAAAUCUUUAACACAUCCAGUUCAAAGGAACAGAGGCACAAAAUAGCAGUAUGAAAGAACAAACAGGGCUUUGAAGACAAACCUGAAAGCUCGAAUCCUAACCCAGGGUGGAUGUCCUGCUCCAUGACCCAAGGCACUUGGUGUUUGUUAAAUCGGUUAGUUUAUAAUCAAAUAAUAAUACGAGGUGGUUGGGAGGCAAAGAAGUUAUGUACAUGGAAAUGUCAAUAUGUAAUUUCCUAUAUUAGCUCCCUAUUACUACUUAAAAAAAAAUACCAGUGGCAUCACAUUCUAUAAAGAAAAGGCAUUUAUAUCGCUUGCUAUUUAUGGAACUGAGUAUCAAUCCGUGUGUCAGCUCUGGUAAGGCUCUUCUGAGUAACCUCGUGGUGAAUGGCAUCGUGGCAGACAGGUGCUUGGUGAGAUUAUACAUCCGAAUGGAAAGUCAGACACACAGUCUGGGGUCAAGUUGGCUCUUUUUUUUUUUUUUUUUUUUUUGUUUUUAAAGAUUUAUUUAUUUUGUGUAUGUGGGUACAUUGUCACUGUCUUCAGACACACCAGAAGAGGGCAUCGGAUCCCAUGACAGAUGGUUGUGAGCCACCAUGUGGUUGCUGGGAAUUGAACUCAGGACCUCUGGAAGAGCAGUCAGUGCUCUUAACCGCUGAGCCAUCUCUCCAGCCCAAGUUGACUCUUUUAUAUCAACUCACUCUCAUAGGAGGUGAGAUCCCUGGCCCUCUGCUAUCCUGUACCCCCGAUGAUCUAUAUUAUCUUUUUGUUUGUUUGUUUGUUUUUACUUAGCAUUUAUUAUAUAAUGUUGACUUCAGUGUGACAGUUUCAUACAUGGACAAAACACACUUUGAUCAUAUUCACCUCCUAUCAUCUGCUCUUGGCCCCUCCUCCUCCCGUCGAUCCUCUUUCUCUUCCCAUCUGGUUCCUCUUCCACUUUCGGGCAGGUUUUUGUUUUGCUUUCGUCUACUGUGACUCACUGAGUUUAAUUUAGAGUUGUGUACAGGAGCACAGAGCAGUUUACCAGCAAGGUCUCAUGAUGCCCCACCCCCCACCCCCAUGAUGGACAAUCGACCAGACCAAUCUUGUGCCGGUCUUGUGCAGGUACUCACAGGGGCUCAGAGUUCAAGAGUACACCACCAGACAUCACCCUCAGAGGACAGCAUUUCACAACACUUCUUCUGUUGCUCUCACUUCUGAUCCCUCUUCUACCUAAGCCUUGGAGCAGCAACCUCCCAAUGCCAAACCAAACUGUGCCCAAAGCCGAGCGCAGCGCUGAUCUGCGGGCAUAAACACAGGAAAUCUGAAGGCAACUCUAUAGGCAUAUUAACUCAAUUGAGCAAUUCAGCAGCACUACUGUGUCUACAUGGACCCAGAACUUCCCCUCAAAUGGGCUUUUGACCAGGUUUAGAAUACCUGGAGUGAGACCCUCCUAUGAAGCAAGCCCGAAGCCAAUCACAAGCAGUUGUUUACCUACGGUCACGCCCCUCAACUGCCCCAGUGGGCAAGUCUCGCCUGACGUAUUGUUUGUUGUACUUUGUAGGGUUUUCUGAAGGGUAAGACAGUUAAAGGUUCCCCACCACGGUCCCCACUCACGCUCCGUAGUCUGCAUAGCAACUCCCAUCGUUACAAAAACUACAUCUACACAACCAUGCCUGAAUACCAAGCCCCUAAGACCAAUCACAACACCCCUGGAUGAUGGUGCGAUGGCCUUGCCAAAGUGAGGAGCAUUCACCGUUGAUGGCACCAUCAAGAUCAGACCCACAGUUAUACCAAAGGAACACUUUGGGUACGUUGUUUAUAGUACAUACACUGUCUUUAAUUCCAUAUCUUUUCUUUCUGUCUUUUUUUCUGUUUCAGGUGAGGAACCUUUGAAGAAGAGUGACUGCAACUCUGUCAGAACACAGUCAUGACAACACAUUUUAUCUAUUAAACCAAAAUAUUAGAGAAAUAUUGGAGAUUUUUCCUCUGGAUUUUUUUUGACAAGCUGGUAAAUAAAUACAAGUUAGCAAAGAAGGGUUGCAUGCAGAAAUAGCCCAGCCACUAGAAUUUAUUACUUUGAAAGGUAGCUCAAAAGCCUUACCAGCUGCAUUACAUCAUUAACAAUGUGUCGAAGGACACAGCUUGUGGAAGCCCAGCGGUGGGCCAGAAUUGACACAAACAGAAAAGUAAUUUUAAGGGAAGAAAAUGUAGCUGUAGAUGAUAUCCUAGUAAAUACGAAACUAGGAGUUUGGAAUUUGUUAUUUCCUUGUGUGCCUUUGGAUUUUUUUUUUUUUCAAUGCAGAGUUUCAUGGCAACGGAAAGGUGAAUAGAGAGAAAGCAGUGGAUUAAUUUAUUUAGACUCUCAACAGACUUUUGAUAAAGUCCCACACACAAGAGACUCUUAAGGAAACUUAACAAACUGGGUAAGAGGUAAAGGGCUGUCAAUCAUGAGUUAACUGUGGGUUAAGAGAUAGAGGGAAUGAAAGACUAAAUGACCCACUCUCAACACGGAAAGGAGUUAAUGGUGGGGUGUCAGCAAUCAAUAGAAAAGCAGUGUUCUCCAGGAUUUUAUUAACACCCUUGAAAAUGGACUAAAUGGCUUGAAUUUGCUGACUACGCAAAAACUAUUUUGGUUCACAAAGUCUACAUAGACAGAUGUGAGACACACAGGAUCCAAACUUGGUGAUUGAGCAAAACAGUGGCAGAUGAAGCUCUGAGCAGGCAAGCUUGAAGCAACUCUCAUUGGAAGUACUACAGUGAUGCCUCAGGGGCUCAGAUGAGUUCUGAGUCCACACUAACCUUAAGUGAGGGAGAGGCAGACUCACGUGAGACAGCGUGAUGAAAUUCCAUACAUCACGCCCAGCAAAGUUCUGUUUUGUUUUCAAAAAGGGAACCAAGCAAAUGCUCUUAAAUUUUGAAAACAAUAUAUAUGUAUAUGUUCUGAUGCCAUGAUAGAUUAAAAAGGACACAGGAAUAUGAUCCAAGUAUAUGAUACAUUUGUAUAAAAAUGUCAUUAUGAGGGCUGGUGGGGUAGCUCACUGGGUAAAAUGCUUGCUAAUCAAUCUGAAGACCGGAGUUUGGUGCUGAGGACCUACAUGGUAAUAGAAGAGAAACGAAUCCUAAUAGUUAUUCUCAGACUUCUACAUGUACACAUGCAUACACAAUAAAGACGCAAAUGCACCUUUUAGAACAACGUUGCA